ACCCUGUUCUUCAUCCUCAGGGACACCUUCCAGCAGUGCUUCAUCAAGUUCUUCACCCUCGUCAAGGGCUUCUGCAACCUUUACGCCAAGGAGAAGGGUCUAGAGAAAAUGACAGACUUAAAGAAUAGAUUCAGUCAUCUGUUGAAUCAGAUUGCCAAGAAAAAUAGAUGAUGCAUGGCACAUGCUGAUUGUGAGGUCAAGAAUUGGGCUUCUACUAGAUAGUUUAGCAUUACUUUUUAGAACAUCACUUCCAUGGUCACAUUAUGUUCUACAAUGGCUGAGACGUUGAUUGCAUGGUCAAUAAUUGGGCUACUACUAGAUAGUUUCACGAGCUGUAAUCUUUGGAUUGUGUUCUUUGUAAUGCCAAAUGCAACAGAGUUAAUAUUAUAUAUGAGAUCUUUAUGUUUA